AGUCUUAUAUUCAAAUAUGAUUUUAAAUUGCAAAUUUAAAGGUGGGCUUCUCCUAAGGCUU
rnacentral:tRNA from 1 species